rnacentral:rRNA from 1 species
CGGAGGGUACAAGUGUUAUUCGUGAUAACUGGGCGUAAAGGAUAUGUAGGUGGUUUUUACCCGUACUAUGUAAAAGACUGGAAAUUAAUUUCUUGAAUGCAUUUUUAAACCGUAAGACUAGAGUAUAAGAGAGGAUAGCAGUAUUAAUAUUGUAAAGUUGGAAUUUUCUGAUAAUAUUAAGACUAUCAUUAGGCGAAGGCGGCUAUCUGGCUUUAGAACUGACACUGAGAUAUGAAAGCAUAGGGGAGCGAAGAGGAUU